rnacentral:rRNA from 1 species
AACCCUUUGUGAACUUAUACCUAUAUCGUUGCCUCGGCGCUGGCUGCCUCUCCCUCGUGGAGGGGGCCCGCCUCUGGUCGUAAAAAGCCAGGGGAGGACAGCAGGCCCGCCGGUGGCCUACUAAACUCUUGUAUUUAUUGAGUAAAAUCUGAGUAAGCUUCUAAAUGAAUCAAAACUUUCAACAACGGAUCUCUUGGUUCUGGCAUCGAUGAAGAACGCAGCGAAAUGCGAUAAGUAAUGUGAAUUGCAGAAUUCAGUGAAUCAUCGAAUCUUUGAACGCACAUUGCGCCCUCUGGUAUUCCAGAGGGCAUGCCUGUUCGAGCGUCAUUUCAACCCUCAAGCCUAGCUUGGUGUUGGGGCAUUACCUGACUGUUUACAGAAGGGUAAGCCCUGAAAUUUAGUGGCGAGCUCGCCAGGACUCCGAGCGCAGUAGUUAAACCCUCGCUUUGGAUAGUACUGGCGCGGCCCUGCCGUAAAACCCCCAAC